AGAGGGAGCAAGGAUCAAAGAGGGAAGGGACUCUAUUACAGCAACUUUGGAGAACAGGGACUGUCUGAAUGGGUUUGCCUCCUGCUCAGCGGAGCUCUGAACCAGGAUACACUUCCCUGCAGCAAGCACUUGACCCAACUCACUGAAGCCAAUGGAAAGAUCAUCAGUUAUUUCAACAGGAGUUGGAUCUGAUUCCCAGUUAGCCAGUGGGUGGUCCUGCAUACAACAAAAUUCUACAGGCUGGGAUUUACUUUGCCAAGACCGCAGACUGAAAGAUAACAGGGAGACCUUGUGGAGUUCCAGCUAUUUGCAGCCAUCUAGGUUUGGUUACUCAUGUAUUAUCCUGCCUAACUCCAAGGAGUUAGUCAGUGGAGGAUGCCGGGGGAAAAACCAACAGACAACAAAACAAUGGCAAAGAUGAAGUACAGUCCAGAGAAUAUGGACCUUGAGGAAACCAUGGGGAAGCUAUUGAUCAGAGAAUUCCCCGGUUGUAUCCCAGCAAGCUGGGCAUGUUUAUUCUUCCCACGCUGGAGCCCAGGAGCAAAAAGGAUACUAAAAACUGUUAGAGAGCCUCACACCUAGAAAAGGAAGUGGGGCUAGUAGAGUGAAUUGCCAUGGCUACUCGGGGAGCAUCAGUGAGUGCUCACAAGGAUGCAAGAGGAGAGUGUCACAGAGGCCACAGUGUCCGGGCAGUCUGCUUCUCCCCACACAACUAGAGGUAGCUGGGCUGACUGGAACUUACCAAAGCUUGCAAGGAAAGAUUGUGUGUUAGAUAAGAGAAAAUGUUCAU